AACGAACGCUGGCGGCAGGCCUUAUACAUGCAAGUCGAACGAGAAAGUUACUUCGGUAAUUAGUAAAGUGGCGCACGGGUGAGUAACGCGUAGAGAUCUACCAAGCAGUGGGGAACAACUAUUGGAAACGAUAGCUAAAACCGCAUACGCCCUACGGGGGAAAUAUUUAUAGCUGUUUGAUGAGUCUGCGUUAGAUUAGCUAGUUGGUAGUGUAAUGGACUACCAAGGCGACGAUCUAUAGCUGGUUUGAGAGGAUGAUCAGCCACACUGGAACUGAGACACGGUCCAG
rnacentral:rRNA from 1 species